GACAUGUUAUCACUCUGCCAGCAUGCCUAGGUGGGCCCCAUAUGGGGGAAAAGAGGGCAGACCAGAUGGGUCCCGUAUGGGUUUGUCCGUGGGUUCCACGGUGGGGCCACAGCCCACAUGGGCCCUACAUGGGCCCUACCUGGGCAAACCCAUGUGGGCUGCCCUCCUUUUCCCCAUAUGGGGCCCACCUAGGCAUGCUGGCAGGGCAGUGACAGAGAGGUUUUUCCUACUGCAUGUCCCAGACAUCUAAAGCAGCCAAUGAGAUUAGUGCUGGGCAAUAAAUCAAUGUUAUUGAUUAAUUCAUUUUUAGUCUUUGAAGAUUUCAUUUUUGGAAAAUCUGUACUUUGUUUCACCAGUGCACUUCUUGGAUUUUCAUACGUGUGAUGGCAGAUCGCCCAGAGCUGCCAUUUAGUUUGACGAGCUUCGUUUACAGCUUCUAUUUAUUUCAACGAUGAAUUCAGGUCAACUCUACAAAAAAUGUCUGACUAAGAUUUUUCUUUUCUUUCUUUUUUAAGCAAAGGUAAAGUCAUAAUAUUACAAAACAGUAUAGUGGAAAAUUUUAAGGAUACUAUGAUUAUGAGUAAAUCAAUACAGAACACUUUUAAGAUUACUAUGGUUACUGACUGAAUCAAUGCAUAACAUUGUCAUGAUUCUUGUGUAAUGAACGUACUCAUGAGUCUUCUGAAGUCGUUUCUCUGAACUCUGCAUUACAAUAAAGUUAUUCAAUUGUUUCUUGUUUGCACCCUCAAGAUGUCCUUGAAUGUUUAAUGUCCCUUAUGAAAGAACAUGUGCAUUCUUUCUGUUUUGUAAUUAAGUAGAUUGUCCAACUAUGUGAAUGGAAUGAAACUGUAAGAGCCAUAUGAAUAAAAUAAGUAAUUAUUGGUAUGACAGUAUGACCAUCACCAAGUAUGAAUGGGAAGGUUACUGGCUUUGUGUGGAUGAGGAAGUGGGUCCACAGGGUGGUCACAGUUUCUGUUGACCGUGUUGUGGUGCCGUUGAUUGUUUGGCCUGGUCAGACUGUGUUUCAGUCCUUGCAAAGUUUGAAGCUUGACAAUCUAAAAUGGAAUAAACCGAUAAUUGACUGAACAAAGAAGUGGCCUGAGUUGAUUGAAACACAGAUGAGAUUCCCAGAGUUAACCCUGCGUGGCCCUCUACCACCAUUUGAGGCACAUUUAGGCUCUUUAAAUAUGUAUUUGAAAUGUUAAAUUGACAUUUGUAACUGUAUACAGAAUAGAUCAGAAAAUAUUGCAGUAAGCAUAUUGCGAGGGAACGCAAAA